rnacentral:rRNA from 1 species
GACGAACGCUGGCGGCGUGCUUAACACAUGCAAGUCGCGGGGGGUGAGCAAUCACUCACCGGCGAACGGGUGCGUAACACGUGAGCGACCUGCCCACUUGUGGGGUAUAGCCGGCCCAACGGCCGGGUAAUCCCGCAUACGCUUCUCUGGCUGCAUGGCCGGGGGAGGAAAGCCGUAAGGCGCAAGUGGAGGGGCUCGCGGCCUAUCAGCUAGUUGGCGGGGUAACGGCCCACCAAGGCGAUGACGGGUAGCUGGUCUGAGAGGAUGGCCAGCCACAUUGGGACUGAGAUACGGCCCAGACUCCUACGGGAGGCAGCAGUGGGGAAUCUUGCGCAAUGGUCGAAAGACUGACGCAGCGACGCCGCGUGCGGGAGGAA